CAGGUAAAGUUAAUAGCAGCAGGAAUCUUUAAUCUGAUGCCUUUUUGCUAUAUGAAUAAGCAGUUCUGCUCCCCACAUUGAACUCACCUGGACUGGAAGAACUCUUAACAAUUUUGGGGGUAAAAACUUGCCUGAGCAAGACUUCCUGGCUUUUAUAUAUCUGUCAUUUCUACUAAAGGAGGCAGAGGGACAAAAUAAUAUCCCCUUUUCUCAUUUCAGUGAUAAUGUGUUAGGGUUCUACAACAAGAUGGUUUGAGAAGGUAAGAGGUAAGUCAUAUUACUUACAACAUACACAACUCAAUCUUUUAAUAGAGAUAAAGCCAGCUAACCAUUUUUCCUUGAUUCUGCCUUUACACCAGCAGUCCCCCAACCUUUCUUACUUCCCUGAUUAAUGAACAUGCUAAAUUGGAAAUCCAUACUGUUUUAAAAGACAAAAUAAUGAGGGAAAUGGACGGUUCAGAAAUGUGAAAUAUAAAUAAAUAAAAUUAAUAAAGAUUAUAAAAUAAAUAAUUAUGUAUUACAUGGCCAAUACAUUAUUAAAAAAUAGUAAGCAAGGCAUAUAAUAACAAGACCUGGCAAUGCCUAAGAGCAGGAAAAUUGAAGAAAGAGACAGAGGGGCUAAUUCUGGCUGCACAAGAUCAAGAUCAAAUGCAUACAAAUUCAGAAUUGAGAAGACAGCAACAGGCAGCAAAGGCCGCCUCUGCCAGGAAGCUGAGUAAACCACCAGAGAAGAAACAGUGAACCACCUAGUUAGCUGCUGCAAGAUUGUGCAGACUGACUACAAACAACGGCACAACAAAGUAGCAAACAAUGGAACAUCUGCAAGAAAUACCAUUAUUAUUGCAAAAGAACUAAUGGAAUCAUAAAGUAGCUAAUAGAAAUGAAGAAGCAAAAGUGCUCUGGAACUUUACAAUUCAAAUAGAUAAGAACCUGCCACAUAACACCCCAGACUUAAGGCUUAUCAAUAAGAAAGACAAAAAGUCUGAAUAGCGGACAUGGCUGUACCUGGAGACAGCAAAAGAAAAGAGAAAGAACUAGAGAAAAUCCAAAAUACAAAGCCUACAAAUAGAAGUGGAAUGAUGUGGCAAAUGAAAGCAAAGAUAAUACCAAUAGUAAUAAGUGCAAUCACAAAGCAUCUGGAGCAUCAACUGAACACCAGCAGCAUUGACAAAAUCACUAUCAGUCAAUUGCAAAAGGCAGCUUUAUUUGGAACAGCAGACAUCCUGUGACAAUAAUCAAACAACAUCUACAUCUCUCAGGUCCUUGAGAAGGACUUGAUAGGUGGAUAAAAAUACCAACUCCAGUCUGAACAUCUGGCUGACUCUGCGACGAACCAUAAUAUAAAAUGAAUAGCAUUUUUAAACAUUUUGGUUUAUUUUAAGAGGAAAAGAAGAACCGAAAGAAGUUGGAAGCAAUAUUAUAGAUAUGGUUAGACUUCAGAGCCAAAAUCCAGGAGGUUCCAGUGGCCAGACGAAGAGUAAGUUUAUUACUGUCCCACUGCAUGGCAUUUUCUGGGUGACUAUUGUAGAAGCCAAAAUUUCAGUCAAGGUCCAAUCCUAGCUACACCAUGCUUCCAGUCUCUUGGAAACAACUGCCUACAACUCCUAUCAUGAGGAAUCCACUUCACUCUCUAAUAGGUGUGACACCGGUUCCUCAGCUCUGACGUAUAACUCUGAUUUAGUUCCUCAUUCUCUUUCACAACUUCUUAUAGCUGUAGCAUGAUGACACUGAGCCCAAACUCUGACUUAUGUUGGCUCCUUUGAACAGAAUUUGUGAGACUAUUUCUAAUUUUGCACUGAAAAUGACUUUCCCUUUCUCAAAGUUCAAAGGCAGAUACUUUUUCUAUCAUCACCGUCCCACUGACAAAGAUAACAAAUUUAACUACCACUGUGAGUAGUGUUACUAUUACUUCAGUGCUACAUAAAGAUAUUGUGUAUUUUUCUGUGGGAUUCCACAGUGAUCUGUGAGCCAUCCAUGGUCAUGUCAUGGUAAAAUAUGUAAAUAGCAUCACGUUUCAGAGUAAGAAUAUUAUUAAAGCUUUUCAGCACUGUAAUUAGAUUCAUGAUAAGCCUUCCCUAAGCCCUUACUAAUUAACUGUAUUGCAACAAGUCAACUUGAACAGAGAACAACUGAGGACCUUUACCCAUCCAACAAAGUUUCCUAUGCAGCCCCAAAUCAUUAUGUGACCAUGGUAAUUUGUAAAAUAAAAACCCUAUCUCUCGAUCCUGAUGUCCUCUUACAUCUUCAAGGAGAGCUCUGGGUGUACAGCAUAUCAAAUGGCUUACUCAACCUAAACUUAUAGGGUCUUGGAUUUCUCUCUGAAGUUAGUACAUUCUAAUCAUUCUAAAUACUUUUAUCUGCUGGUGAAACCAGCUGUACCCAAUCUGGAAUGUCUUUUAGAUCAACUUUUUCCAAUGUGGUAUUCCCCAGAUCUUUUGAACCUCAGCUCCAAGAUUGACCACUUAAAGCUGUGGUGGCAUAUUGGUUAGAAUGCAGUAUUGCAGGCUCUAACUCCACCAACUGCCAGUAAUUUGAUUCUGCCUGGCUCAAGGUUGAUUCAUCCCUCCAUCCUUUCGAGUUACCACACUCAUCCAAGCUCAUCAUGUCAAGGUUAUUCUCUGGAUUUUUGGGCUUUCCUCUUCACGUGAAAUCCCUGAAACUUCCAGUAGAGGCAUCAAAGAACAGGAAAAACUUCCAUUGCUAACACUUCCAUUUAAAACAAAAGAAAAGGAAGACCAUCAGGAGUGGCUAACAGUCCACUGCAAAACUGCUUUUGACCAUCGAUGUUUAUCCUCGUGAAAACUGACCGGGUGGGGGGGAAACAACAACACUGCAGUUGUGUUUGUCAAGGACCUUAAAGCUGAAACAAACCCCCAUUUUUGUGGUAGGCCACGCCGACAGGCCCAAGGCUUCGCGCCCAAACAAUGGCUCUAAAAGAUGCCGACGGAGACGCGUUUCCCACAACUCCCUCUUAAACCCAACUCGCACCCCAGCGCAAGCACUCUCAAAAUUGCAAGCAAGGUUGCUGGCCGCCUCCUGGGGGCAAAAGCUUCUUAAACUCCCGUUAUAUUUGGAGGCUGAAAAUACACCUCAGGCACACAAUCCCAUUUCCUGGGCCGUCUGGAAGCACUCCGUGCUUGCUAGAGGAGCGUGCCUUUCCCAAGGCCUGUCAAAGGGGCCUAACUCAGCUUUCUCCGCAGCAAGCUCCGAGCGAGUGGCUCCCCCCUCCCCGCUUUCUGCCCAGUGGGGCGCCAGGGCCUGGUGUGGAUGACGGGCCGAGGAUGGCAGCUGCUUUCUACCCCCCCCCCCAGCUCCCACAUGAACGACUUUCCAGCUACUUCUCGCCACAACUGGAGGCUAAAAGCCCAACUGGACAUUCAUUACUACAUAGGGUAUCAUUGAUUUGGAAGAGUUCCUCCUUGGCCUGACUUCUCCUUGCGCCUACAUCACAUUCAAGCUAAAUUGAAUUGUAAUUCCACUCAUCUAGAGGGCAGCCAGGAAAGAUGUUAAGGGAAGAUGAUGGGAGUUGCAGUCAGGCAUAUCUGGAAAGAGCCUUACUAGGUAUGGUUGUUGUUGUUUUUUUAAAAAAAUGUUUUAUUUGAUUAUAGAAUAAAAUACAAAAAUACAAAAGCAAAUAGGCAGAUACAGUGGGGAGGAGAAGGGGGAAAAAAAGAAAGGGAGGAAAAAAAAGUGUUGACUUCUGAUUCCCUCUGUUGCAAUAGAAUAAAGCAUUAACAUUGAACCUCAAA